UGCGUAGGUGGCAGGGUAAGUCGGAUGUGAAAUCUCCGAGCUCAACUCGGAAAUGGCAUUGGAAACUACCCAGCUCGAGGGUUGGAGGGGGGACUGGAAUACUUGGUGUAGCAGUGAAAUGCGUAGAUAUCAAGUGGAACACCAGUGGCGAAGGCGAGUCCCUGGACAACUCCUGACACUGAGGCACGAAAGCUAGGGGAGCAAACA
rnacentral:rRNA from 1 species